AAAACCCUUUCCUGCUUCUCUCUCCUCCUCUCGAUUUCCCAUCAUCCGACUCCAAGUCCUCCUUAGUUUCUUCUUUGAUUGGGAAGAGAAACCUUUCGUGCAGCGAUUGUGAAGCCUCUUGAGCUCCAACUUCACAGUUUCUUCUUCGCUAAAGCCUUUAGUGCACGAUUCGAGGUCUGGUUCGGGGCCUUUGGGAUCUGGGUUCUUCAAAGAAUCGGCUGUUUCGACGGAAUUCGGAUUCUUGCAGCAAAACAGAGUGGAAAUCUCUUUCCCUCCUCCCUCUCCCUCUCUCUCUCUCUCUCUCUCUCUCCCUGAUUUCCCCCACUAGAGCGGCGGCCUCUGUUCUCUUUGCUCCCAUCUAGAUGAAUUAUUCAACUGGUUCCGGUUUCCAUUUUAAUCUAAGCCGAUUAACCGGUUCGGUCCCAAAAAACGCGAAAACCGGACCGAACGGGACCGAAUCACCCCUAGGACUCAGUUGCUCUUGUUUAUAACUCCGCUUCUAGCUUCCAUGUUCUGAAGUCCAGGUCUCAUCCACCAACGUCUCUCUCUCUCUCUCUCUAUGUCUGCUAUAUUCCGAAGGAGAAUAAACCUCACUCACAUAACCUCUAGACUCGCAUCCCUAACCUCAUCAUCCUCCCACUACCACCAUCACUUUUCCCUCAACCCACCCCUCCUCCUCGCCCCUCACUCCCCCUCCCUCCACCACUGCCACCCGCCCGUCCUAGGGUUAGGGUUUCAAGAACGCCACAAAUGGGACGGAAACUUCGACCAAAUCCCCGCCCAAGUCAACUGCCCCCGCUGCUCCAACCUCAUGACCGUCCUCUUCUCCACCCGUCCCCUCUCCAUCACCGGUGGCGAGACCGGGCUUUACCAGGCCCUGAAUCUGUGCCCUAACUGCCGUACCGCUUUCUAUUUCCGGCCAGUGAAGUUGGAGCCGCUGCAGGGGAGUUUCAUUGAGAUUGGGAGAGUGAAGAGGGGUGGUUAUGAUGAUGAGAGUGGUGGGAGGGUUGGGGCUAGGAUUUGGGAGAAGUUGCGGUCGCAUGGAGGAGACAGGGCGGAGGGGGAUGGUGGGGGUGAGGGGAAGGGUAAGUCGGUGGUGGAGGUGAAAGGAAGUGGGGUUGGGAGUAAAUGCGGUGGUGGUGGUGGUUUUGGGGAGGGGAGUGGGUGGGGAGGAGGAAAGUUGGGGAAGGAUUUGCCUACGCCGAAAGAGAUGUGCCGGUGGCUUGAUCAGUUUGUUAUUGGGCAAGAAAGAGCGAAGAAGGUGCUUGCUGUGGCUGUCUACAAUCACUUCAAAAGGAUUUCUCAUGCUUCCUUGUGCAAAGAAUCUGGUGGUGUAACAUCAGACGUGGGUAGAGUUAAUGAUGAUGGUAGCGAUUCUGUUGAACUAGAGAAAAGCAAUGUGUUACUGAUGGGUCCGACCGGUUCAGGGAAGACAUUACUUGCAAAAACGUUAGCUCGCAUAGUGAAUGUGCCUUUUGUGAUUGCAGAUGCGACAUCAUUAACACAGGCAGGUUAUGUUGGAGAAGAUGUGGAAUCAAUAUUGCACAAACUACUUUUGGUUGCUGAUUUCGAUGUGGAAGCAGCUCAGCAAGGCAUUGUGUACAUUGAUGAAGUUGAUAAGAUAACUAAAAAGGCUGAGAGCUUAAACACGGGGAGAGAUGUAUCAGGAGAGGGUGUUCAACAGGCAUUGCUGAAAAUGCUGGAAGGAACUAUUGUGAACGUUCCUGAUAAUAGAGCUCGAAAGCAUCCUCGUGGUGAUAGCAUUCAGAUAGAUACCAAGGAUAUACUUUUUAUAUGUGGUGGAGCCUUUGUGGACUUAGAAAAAACAAUUUCAGAAAGACGACAAGAUUCUUCCAUUGGCUUCGGAGCGCCAGUCCGUACAAAUAUGAGAAUUGGGGGACUAACUAAUGCUGUAGUGACAUCAUCAUUAUUAGAAUCUGUGGAAAGUGGUGAUCUAGUUGCAUAUGGCCUGAUACCUGAAUUUGUUGGGCGUUUUCCUGUUUUAGUGAGUUUAUCUGCUCUAAAUGAAGACCAACUUGUUGAGGUCCUCACAGAACCCAAAAAUGCUCUUGCAAAACAGUACAAGAAAAUGUUCAGCAUGAACAGUGUAAACCUACAUUUUACAGAGAAUGCACUUAGAUUGAUUGCAAAGAAAGCAAUGGCAAAGAACACUGGUGCCCGGGGCUUGAGAGCCAUAUUAGAAAAUAUACUUACAGAAGCCAUGUUUCAGGUUCCAGAUGCUAAGUCAGGAAAUGACACUAUUAAUGCAGUUGUGGUUGAUGAAGAGGCUGUAGGAUCAGUAGACACUCCAGGAUGCGGGGCAAAAGUUCUCCGCAGAGAUGGUUUAUUGGAGCCGUGUCUUUGUCAAACAGCAUCAAUGGGUCCUACGGUAUGUUUUCUUGCUCCUCAGAUGGGUGAGAGCCAACCCGUACCCGUCAAGCUAACUGUAACUCCCCGUCCCACAUCGGAAGUCUACAUGGAUGAUCUUGGGCAUAUAACAAACUUUGUGGGCUACUAUUAGUACCUUGGGCUUCAGCUUUUGGGCCAUGUGGUGUGGUUUGUGGAUCAAAAUCAAGGUACUAUGCCAGUGGUCUGCUUGGGGCGUCAUAGGUGGUAUCAGAGCAAUCCAUGUACACGACCAUGUGGACCUUGGAGUUUGAUUUGAUUUGGUUGUUGGUUUGAUUUGUAUUGGUGAUUAUAGUGCUCAACCCCUCGCGAGAGCGCAAGGCUAUAAAGUUGGGGAGAUUGUAACACCUCGUCCCACAUCGGAAGUCUACAUGGAUGAUCUUAGGCAUAUAACAAACCUUGUGGGCUACUACUUGUAUCUUGGAUUUAAGCUUUUGGGCCAUGUGAUGUGGCAUGUGGAUCAAAAUCAAAGAAAUGAACAAGGAAUUUGAAGGGGGAUUGGAAGGAGAAUUAGGGGUCUCAUCCUAAGGCAUGUGCUUAUGACUCCAUGUUUGUAGAUAAAUCCCAAUUCAUGCGGGGGCUUGUUGGAUGUAACUUUUUUUACUAGCUUUCGGCUUGGGCAUGUAAUCUAAUUUUAUUCACUAAUAAAAAGGUUUUUUUUUUUUUUCCGGGCCUGAAUUCAUGCAUGCGGGUCCACGAGAUGAUAGAUGUGAUUGUAUAUGGAGUAUUGAAGUAGCAGUGGUAUAUAUUCGGUUUGAAUUGGAUAUAAACGUGGAUAAUAAUUUUUGAUCGUGAAUGAAGAGAGAAUUCUAAAAACCAGAU